GAAAUACCACCCUUUAAUGUUUGAUGUUCUAACGUGGGCCCGUAAUCCGGGUUGCGGACAGUGUCUGGUGGGUAGUUUGACUGGGGCGGUCUCCUCCUAAAGAGUAACGGAGGAGCACGAAGGUUGGCUAAUCCUGGUCGGACAUCAGGAGGUUAGUGCAAUGGCAUAAGCCAGCUUGACUGCGAGCGUGACGGCGCGAGCAGGUGCGAAAGCAGGUCAUAGUGAUCCGGUGGUUCUGAAUGGAAGGGCCAUCGCUCAACGGAUAAAAGGUACUCCGGGGAUAACAGGCUGAUACCGCCCAAGAGUUCAUAUCGACGGCGGUGUUUGGCACCUCGAUGUCGGCUCAUCACAUCCUGGGGCUGAAGUAGGUCCCAAGGGUAUGGCUGUUCGCCAUUUAAAGUGGUACGCGAGCUGGGUUUAGAACGUCGUGAGACAGUUCGGUCCCUAUCUGCCGUGGGCGCUGGAGAACUGAGGGGGGCUGCUCCUAGUACGAGAGGACCGGAGUGGACGCAUCACUGGUGUUCGGGUUGUCAUGCCAAUGGCACUGCCCGGUAGCUAAAUGCGGAAGAGAUAAGUGCUGAAAGCAUCUAAGCACGAAACUUGCCCCGAGAUGAGUUCUCCCUGACCCUUUAAGGGUCCUGAAGGAACGUUGAAGACGACGACGUUGAUAGGCCGGGUGUGUAAGCGCAGCGAUGCGUUGAGCUAACCGGUACUAAUGAACCGUGAGGCUUAACCUUACAACGCCGAAG
rnacentral:rRNA from 1 species